GGCAGUGUAGCUCAGUUGGUAGAGCAGCCGGCUCAUACCCGGUACGUCGAGGGUUCGAUCCCCCCCACUGCCA
rnacentral:tRNA from 1 species